rnacentral:lncRNA from 1 species
UGUGUCCAGAGAUUUCAUUCCCUUUAGACCUCUUUCAUCUCUUCAUUCAAAUCCUAAUGCCGAGAUUGACCCUGUAGGCUAUUAGUUGCCUUCAGCUACCAUUCUUCCUGUUUUAAAAGCAAGGCCGAUAGGAACAUUUGAAAAAAGGACUCUUCAGACCUGGAAAAUUUUGUCAUGAGAAGGUAACAGCAACCUUCCCUCCAGUUAAAAUAGAGGAAACUGGCUGGAGAGAGCUCAGAUACAGGGCUGAAAACAAAGACAUCCAAACCUUGAGCCAUUUAGAAGAGGAAGAAACCAAAAUCUAUGCCAGAGGUUUGACUGCUGGGUUUACUCAUGGCUUCAGGUCAGUUUCGCGGGGCUUGGUCUGUUGGGAGGAUUUUCUGAGAAGCAUCUGAAGAGCUGAUAGCUGGAUAGCUUCACCACUGACCCCCCGACCCGAGUGAGGUUUGGCACUCGCAGUAUUCCUGGAAUGACACAGGGGCUCCGGCUGGAGUCAGGCCAGGACAUUAGAUGAAACUGCUUUUGUGGCACUUCUGCUUUUGAUGACUAGAGGACAGAUUUCCCGCUGUAACUCUCUGCAGCGUUUGACUCUAUUGACCAUGAACCCCUGCUGGCCCCUACUGAGAAGGUGGGUUGCAGUCUGGUGGGAAUGAUUUGGUGGGACAUACCCAGUUAGUAGAGAUGUAAAUAUACAGCCAUACAGCUAAUGUAGGUUGGUUGUGGUGCUGUCUCAAAGGACCUAGCUUUUCUCUUUUCUGUUGACCCAGUUGAGCACAAAGUCAUAGAAUCAUAGAAUCAUAGAAUCUUCUAGGUUGGAAGGGACCUUAAAG